rnacentral:rRNA from 1 species
GACGAACGCUGGCGGCGUGCCUAACACAUGCAAGUCGAACGGAGAAUCAGCAAUGAUUCUUAGUGGCGAACGGGUGAGUAACGCGUAGACAACCUGCCUUCUAGAUGGGGACAACACUGCGAAAGUGGUGCUAAUACCGAAUGAGUUUUUCUUCCCGCAUGGGAAGAAAAAGAAAGGUGGCCUCUAUUUAUAAGCUAUCGCUAGAAGAUGGGUCUGCGUCUGAUUAGCUAGUUGGUGAGGUAAAAGCUCACCAAGGCGACGAUCAGUCGCCGGUCUGAGAGGAUGAACGGCCACACUGGGACUGAGACACGGCCCAGACUCCUACGGGAGGCAGCAGUGGGGAAUCUUCCGCAAUGGACGAAAGUCUGACGGAGCAACGCCGCGUGAGUGAUGAAGGCCUUCGGGUUGUAAAACUCUGUUUUUCGGGACGAAUGUAUUUACUGUGAAUAAUGGUAGAUAGUGACGGUACCGAAGGAGGAAGCCACGGCUAACUACGUGCCAGCCGCCGCAGUAAAAC